UCCUACGGGGGGCAGCAGUGGGGAAUAUUGCACAAUGGGGGAAACCCUGAUGCAGCGACGCCGCGUGAAGGAAGAAGUAUUUCGGUAUGUAAACUUCUAUCAGCAGGGAAGAAAAUGACGGUACCUGACUAAGAAGCCCCGGCUAACUACGUGCCAGCAGCCGCGGUAAUACGUAGGGGGCAAGCGUUAUCCGGAAUUACUGGGUGUAAAGGGAGCGUAGACGGCUGUGCAAGUCUGGAGUGAAAGGCGGGGGCCCAACCCCCGGACUGCUCUGGAAACUGUAUGGCUGGAGUGCAGGAGAGGUA
rnacentral:rRNA from 1 species